rnacentral:rRNA from 1 species
CAGUAGCCACGGUAAUACGGAGGGUGCGAGCGUUAAUCGGAAUUACUGGGCGUAAAGCGUACGCAGGCGGUCUGUUAAGUCAGAUGUGAAAUCCCCGGGCUUAACCCGGGAACUGCAUUUGAAACUGGCAGGCUAGAGUCUCGUAGAGGGGGGUAGAAUUCCAGGUGUAGCGGUGAAAUGCGUAGAGAUCUGGAGGAAUACCGGUGGCGAAGGCGGCCCCCUGGACGAAGACUGACGCUCAGGUACGAAAGCGUGGGGAGCAAACAGGAUUAGAUACCCCAGUAGUCCCUGUCUCUUAUAC